UGUGAGGAGAAAAACAAAGCAUUCCCUCUUCUUUUACUUCUCCAUCGACAUUGUGCUCCUCUUCCCUCUCUGUCGAACCUUGCCUCCUCAACUUCGACUUGUUCUCCUUCUCACCGUCGGUCUGCUCCCCACCUCAUUGAUCGAUGCCCUCUUUCCUUCAUCAGAGUCGACCACAUGCUGGUUUUAAGCUGUCACCACUGCACUGAAGGUUGAGCCCUUAGUCCACCAUGAUACACC